UCUGCCUGCCUUGGCCUCCUAAAGUGCUGGGAUUACAGGCGUUAGUCACUGUGCCUGGCUGAGGAUGUGAUGCUGUCUUGGCGACCAGCUGUAUGGUACACAGAGAGGUGUCUCCACUCUGUCCCCCACCCCUGGCCUCUUCAAAUCCUGACAGAGGGUCAAUGACAGCUCUUCCCUGUGGGAUUAAGCCUUCAUUUUCAGUGGAUGACGAAUCCUUUUCCCUCUCCACGGGAGCUUUACAUCUCUAAGAAAUCUCGAGUCGGAAAGUAAGCGUCUGGAAGGGAAUGUGCCACCUGUCGCCCUCCUGGUGUUCUGGAAACCUCAGCAGGGCCACUCCUGCUCUCCUUCCUGCUCAUUUCCCGGCAUCCACACAGGGUGUUUUCUUCUAAAGAUCUUGCUGGCACUUGCUGAGCCUCACGCUGCUGCAGCCAGCCAGUGACUCUUGCAUCAGUGACUGGCACACAUCUCCCUCUGCCCACCAGGUCUCAGAGGGUCACUGCUCUCAGCUCUGAACCAGCCCUGGCUUUGGUCGCUGGUGUGUGGCACAGAUGCAGGCGACAUGGAGCUUCGUAGUAGUCAGAACAAGCCCUUCCCUGCAGCAGCAUCAUGGUCAGAGGCUGUCUUUGUCUGGGUUCCCCUAAGUGGGGGACAGACCUUGAGAUGAGGAUCUGCAAGUGGUUUAUUGGGCAGAUGAUCUGGAAACAUAGGUGGUGGGUGGGGAGGUGGAAUGGGAAGACAGGAGGCGGAACAAUAGGCAUGACCAAGAAGGUCAGGACAUAGGCGGCUGGAGCCGUCCUGCGGGGGAUGCCAGGAGCCAGGGCAGAACACGUCCUGAAGUUGUCCUGACUGCAGAGUGGAGUGGCUGGAACAUUCACCCCACCCUGUCACUGCUGAAGGCUGUCCCCACACAUGGGUCAAGCAACUCUCGUAGCCGGAAAGAGCCAUUAGCAGGUGAAAGUGAGGCUGUUUGCCUCAGUGGCCCACUGCUUCUCUGCCCUGUCUAGCCAGGUUGAUGGUCCCCUCUGGUCUGGGGUAGCUCCUGCUGCUCAGGUGUCAGGCCUCUCUGCAGGGCCACUGCUAGCCCAGUGUGCUCCUGUGUAAACUCACACAUGGUGCUCCUUUGGAGCAGGCUAAGGCCCAGGCUGGGGUGCAUGACUGGGUGAGCUGAGCAUGGGGGAAAUGCAAGCCUCACUUGGGUUCUUGGCAAGGGACCCUUGAUUGGUGAAGAAACCACACAACUGUGCCCAGGAGCCCUGCUUCUGUCUGGGUAUAGGCUGCCCGGGGAGGUGUGAUCUGGGAGGAACCUGCAACUCUCUCCCUGGAAUCAAGGAGGUUCUGUAGGCAUGACUUGGGUCCCCAUUACCUUGGGUUCACAGAGAUCUCAUUCUGUUCCUCUUUCCCUCUACUUGGGGGUUUUGGAAACAAAAGCCUAGAACAGGCAGUGGUAGUGGCCAAACUUCCAGCCUGAAGCACGCUCACGUCACAAACUGAUGUGUGCUGGACUCUGUGUCUAGUUUUUUUUUUUUUUUUUUUUUUUUCUUGAGACAAGGUCUGGCCCUGUCACCCAGGCUGGACAGAAUCAUGGCUCAUUGCAUCCUCAGCCCCGCGGGCUUAACUGAUCCUCCCACCUCAACUUCCCAAGUAGCUGGGACCACAGGCAUGUGCCACCAUGCCUAAUUUUUAAAUUUUUUGCAGAGACAAGGUCUCACUACGUUGCCAAGGCUGGUCUCGAACUCCUGGGCUCAAGUGAUCUUCCCACCUUGGCCUCCCAAAGUGCUGGGAUUACAGAUGUGAGCUACCAUGCCAGUCCCUGGUUUUUAAGCACUUCUCAUGCUCUUUCAUGUCUGAUCUUCUCAAACUUGGUUCUAUGGUUAUCAUUAUUUUACACACAAAACUAAAGCUCAGAAAAGUUAGGCAACUUGUCUGAUAUCUGUCUCUGGUAAGAGGCAGAGCAAGGAUUGGGAUCUAGGCCUUGUUACUCAGAACACAGGGCAGGGUGGCUGGAGUUUCCUUCACAUCCCCAGCCUGUGUCAUGAUGGAUUUGCUUUCCUGGUUUUGAACAUCACACACGUGGAAUUUUCCGUACAUUCUGGAGUGACUUCAUUGUGCGCUUCAUCCACAUUGUUGCGGGUUGUGGUUGUGUGCCCUUUUCCAUUGUUGCACAAAAUCUCCUCUCUGUGAACAUGCCACACUUACUUUUUAAAAUCUUUUCUCCUAUGGAUGGACAUCUGGGUCAUUUCCAGUUUGGGGCCAUCAGGAGGAAAGCUGCUGUGGGUAGUUUUGUUAAUGUCUUCUGGUACACAUAAGCUCUCAUUUCUCUUGGGUGAGGUGAGGAAUUAGUCAGUCAUGGGAUAUUCGUAUGUUUAGGUUUUGUAAAUACUGCCAGUUUGCCAAUGUGGUUGUAUCAAUUUUAUGAGCAAUGUAUGAAGGUUCCAGCUGCGACAUCCUUGACAAACUAGGUAUCGUCAGUCCUUUUAAUUUUAGCCAUUCUUGGGUGGGUGAGAGCAGUGAAGAGCCAUUCUUGACAUGGAAUGACAAGACCUAGUGUGCCAGAGGUGAAGGCCUGAGCGUCCAGGGGAGCAUGAGCCUGUCUUCUAUGCCCUGCUGUGCUACAGCAAUGUUUCACUGUGCUCAGGAGGAAAACAGAGACAGCAGAGAAGCCGAGUGCUCCAAAGUGGGCAGAAAUGAGACAGGCAUAAAUAAAGUGCUAGGCUAAUAGUGAGACUCUUAGAUAAUUUUGUCAUUAGCUACAAAGAGGGCAGUGACAACAUGAUUUACAUACACACACACACACACACGGGGUGGGGUAUCUGAAAUAUUAAGCAGCUAGUAUGGUAGGGGCACUGCCUAAUCAGUAUGGAUGCUGGCCAGGAGAAGAUGUGUGUAUGUGCUGGCUGGAAACUCAGUCCUGCUCAUAGGUCAUGAUCUUAAUGAUUAAAUAAGCCAAGAAAUCCCAGAGGGCAGUGCCCGAGAGCACCCUGUUUGCUCUGUGGCUAGAACGCAGCACCCUGAAGUAUCACCCAUCAGGGUUAGAGGUGCUCGUGAUGGUUUGGGCAAAUACUAAUAUUAAUCCAGAGUAUCAGAGUCUGCAUGAAAAUACUGAAAAGUGAGGGUAUACUCAACCGUUUGCAAGAAAUACAAAUGGGAACUGACAAUAACUUAAGAUAAUUAGAGAGGCAGAGAGCACUGGGUUUUACUAAAAUAUUAAGACAUUAAUAUUUUAUGCGUCCUGUCUCCAUGUCGGCAACUGCGCAAAGUACACGCGUUCAAGCGAAAGUGGGAAGGCUAAUGGCCAGCCAGAGCUUCGGCGCUUGCACGCUCAGGCCACCGGGUGACGACUGCUUCCAAUUCCGCGGCCUUUAAACCCCAGGUUGUUUUUUAAAAAACAAAACAAACAAACAAAAACACUAUUUCUCUAAAAGUCACGAUUCGAGCCCCACCUGAGGACGCAACGAUCCGGCGCCAACUCCUUUAUGUAUAAAUGAGUGACUUUACCAGAAGCGCCUAUGCAAGACGCAGGGCCCCGCGCAGGCUGCUCCCACCUCUUUCUCUCCUUGCAGGGUACCGAGACCCUGGCUGGUGCAGCCGGCGGCCCCUCCGGCCCAUCCGUCGGAAAUGGAAUAGCCCAUUUCAAACCUACAAGAAAGAAGUGUGCCUCCCAGGUCAUUCGAUGCACCCUGGCCCCUGGGCCGUCUGCUGUGAGUGCCAGACCAGAUUCGGGGGCCGCCUACCUGUGCCCAGGGUGGAAGCAGCACUGCCUUACUGGGUCCCUCUGUCCCUGAGACCCCGAAAGCAGAGUCAAAAGAUGGUUCAGUUUUAUAUCCCCCAAACCACCAAGAUGUGCCCCUGCCUAUGCCAUCGCUUUGGGGGCCGCCUCCCGAUGCCUAGGGACCAGGCAGUGAUGCCCUACUGGGUGCCCCAGGUUCUGAGGUCUCAGCAGCAGAUGGUCAGGAGGCAGGAGAGUUUGAAAGGCAUCCAAGCACCCCCGCUGGAUGCAUGCUCCUGGCACAACUGCUGGCGGAUCUGCGGUGACGAGCGCCUGCUGCCCAAGUGCCAGCAGCUCCAGGCCCCCGACCAGGACGAGCUACCGGCUCGCCCAGUGUGUCUGCUGCGCCUUGCCCUCCUGACCCUCCUCCAGGCCAUCCCGAGGGUCAUUGUGGCCAUUCGCCAGUUUUUUGGGAUUUGAAGUUGGAAUCUUCAGCUACUGUCAAGAAUAUCCACAAAAAUAUGUCACAAUCAAGAUCUUUAACGAGAGUCCUCCAAUCAGGAGGCGUCUGUGACAGCCGCUGUUUUCUCAUAGAACAGAAUCCACACCCAGGAUUCAACCCAAAUUAUUUCUCAUCAGGGGGGACUUGUCCCCAUCUCCGUGUCCCUGGGGGAGGGCAGCCAUUUCCGAGUGUCUCUUCAGGGACAGCAGAUCCACUGGACAAGGGUCCGAAAAUGGUAUCAGCACCUGUGUCAGGUGAGAGAGAAGCUGAUUACGACCAGGUCUGGCACAGAAAGCCCCUGUUUGUGCAAUCCUGCAUUCUUCCUUUUUAAAUAAAAUUUAAGACCAUCUGAAACGACUUGCCAUCUUGA